CUGGGUGGCUUCGGCCUAAACCCCCUACCAUUGUGAACACGACCAGUUGCUCAGCAGGCUAGUGGCGGUGAAUAACUGCCCUGCCUGCGGCACAAAAUUCUUCUAAUGUCAUCUCUGAGUUACUUUUAAAUAAGUCA
rnacentral:misc_RNA from 1 species